rnacentral:tRNA from 1 species
GGCUGAAGAGAUGGCUCAGCGGUUAAGAGCACUGACUGCUCUUCUGAAGGCCCUGAGUUCAAUUCCCAGCAGCCA